UGAGUCUACACCUAUAAACUGCAUUGGAAAAUUCACCAUCAAGAACCCAUAGUGGGAGAAAGAAAUGAAACAAAAUGGAAUUCAGGUUCCAGCCUGCUGUUUGUAAUAAACUCUGAAAUGUGUGCCCAGCAGAUGCUGCUUACACAAGAAACACCACGGCAUGAAGUACAAUCGUACUGCUGUGGCCUGAUGGGGCACGUGAGUCCUUUAAAUGACACAAUCUGCUUCUCUCUUCCACAUCGGCCCUCGGAUCCUGGUUUCAGGAGAGUCCACCAGAGCCUUCUCUCCAGACGAGAUUUUCCUCUCAUCCCUGGUUAAAGGGAGAGAGAAAGAUUUUAUUCAGGAGACGGUGGAUGGAAGGGUGACCUUACUGAUUUGGGCAUCUAACACCAGAGGAGACCCAAAUGCUGUUUCAAAAGCUACUCAUUUGGCUUCCGUCCCUCUCCAUCACCUCUGCCAACUUACGCCUCCGCCUCCGGGCCUCGGAGCCGCCUUGGCAAUGGCCAGUCCUGCGAUUGGUUCCCAGCGGUGA
rnacentral:lncRNA from 1 species